GGACCCGCACAAGCGGUGGAGCAUGUGGUUUAAUUCGAUGAUACGCGAGGAACCUUACCAGGGCUUAAAUGGGAAAUGACAGGGGCAGAGACGCCCCCUUCUUCGGACAUUUUUCAAGGUGCUGCAUGGUUGUCGUCAGCUCGUGCCGUGAGGUGUCAGGUUAAGUCCUAUAACGAGCGCAACCCCUACCGUUAGUUGCCAGCGUGUAAUGACGGGGACUCUAACGGAACUGCCGGUGCAAACCGUGAGGAAGGUGGGGACGACGUCAAAUCAUCACGGCCCUUACGUCCUGGGCCACACACGUGCUACAAUGGUAGGUACAGAGGGAAGCCACCCCGCGAGGGGGAGCGGAUCUAUAAAACCUAUCUCAGUUCAGAUUGAAGUCUGAAAUUCGACUUCAUG
rnacentral:rRNA from 1 species